GCAGCAUCACGUUGUGGCGGUGCUUUGCUGCAGGAGGGACUGGUGCACUUCACAAAAUAGAUGGCAUCAUGAGGCAGGAAAGUUAUGUGGAUAUAUUGAAGCAACAUCUGAAGACAUCAGUCAAGAAGUUAAAGCUUGGUCGCAAAUGGGUCUUCCAAAUGGACAACGACCCCAAGCACACUUCCAACGUUGUGGCAAAAUGGCAAAAAACUUCUUGUAACUAGGGGGCAGCAUUUUCAUUUUUGGAAAAAUAACAUUCCCAAUGUAAACAGGCUAUUUUGUCAGGACAAGAUGCUAGAAUGCUCAGGGAUUCAAUCUAGCAACCUUUACGGUUGCUGGCCCAACGCUCUAACCACUAGGCUUCCUGCCACCCUGGCAAAUUAGGGUUAAGUACCUUGCUCAAGGACACCUGUCAGCUCGGGUAUUCAAACCAGCAACCUUUCGGUUACUAGCCCAACGCUCUAACCUCUAGGCUACCUGCCGCCCAUGACCUUGUCACCACAUUCUACUAAUUCUCAUACAGCCAGGCUCAACCAUUAAACCCAAAUAGGCCUACUGAACGGAGCCUUGCUCAACCAUUAAACCCACAUAGGCCUACUGAACGGAGCCUUGCUCAACCAUUAAACCCACAUAGGCCUACUGAACGGAGCCUUGCUCAACCAUUAAACCCCCCUAGGUCUAUUGAACGGAGCCUUGCUCAACCAUUAAACCCCCCUAGGUCUACUGAACGGAGACUUGCUCAACCAUUAUACCCCACAUAGGCCUACUGAACGGAGACUUGCUCAACCAUUAUACCCCCCUAGGUCUACUGAACGGAGACUUGCUCAACCAUUAAACCCCCCUAGGUCUACUGAAUUGAGCGGAUCAUGUAAAAAUUGAAAGCACAAUAGCGUUUGAUAUAGUACCUCUAGCUGGAUAUCAAACAAGCAUACUUGGUUUAAAUUGAUCUGAAAACAUGUUCUUUGAUGUUUUUCAAUUGCCAACGGUGAAGUAAAUUGGCUUAAUGGAGGCCAACAAACAAUGGUGUUGUUCUGCUAGAAUGCAAGGGAGCGCCUCACAUUUUAUAUUUUGAGAAUAAAAGUAGCUGGUAAAAAUAUUUCUGGAAAAUGAUUUCUGAAGCUGAAUCAAUGUCCCGCAAGA
ensembl:lncRNA